CCGGCGACCGGCGCACGGGUGAGUAACACGUAUGAAACCUGCCCGUAGCAGGGGGAUAAGCGGAAGAAAUUCCGUCUAAUACCGCGUAACAACCCAUGGAGGCAUCUCUGUGGGUUUAAAGGAAGCGAUUCCGGCUACGGAUGGUCAUGCGUCGCAUUAGCUUGUUGGCGGGGUAACGGCCCACCAAGGCGACGAUGCGUAGGGGUUCUGAGAGGAAGGUCCCCCACACUGGAACUGAGACACGGUCCAGACUCCUACGGGAGGCAGCAG
rnacentral:rRNA from 1 species